GUUCCCUCGGUGUCGCCGUUGGCUAGUCUACAGAGUAGUUUGACUCCGUGGCGUCAGGACGACGCUGGCGGCGUGCUUAACACAUGCAAGUCGACGGAAAGGCCCUGCUUGCAGGGUACUCGAGUGGCGAACGGGUGAGUAACACGUGGGUGAUCUGCCCUGCACUUCGGGAUAAGCUUGGGAAACUGGGUCUAAUACCGGAUAGGAGCCAUCUUUAGUGUGGUGGUUGGAAAGUUUUUUCGGUGUAGGGUGAGCUCGCGGCCUAUCAGCUUGUUGGUGGGGUAAUGGCCUACCAAGGCGGCGACGGGUAGCCGGCCUGAGAGGGUGUACGGCCACAUUGGGACUGAGAUACAGCCCAGACUCCUACGGGAGGCAGCAGUGGGGAAUAUUGCACAAUGGGCGCAAGCCUGAUGCAGCGACGCCGCGUGGGGGAUGAAGGCCUUCGGGUUGUAAACUCCUUUCGCUAGGGACGAAGCUUUGUGUGACGGUACCUAGAUAAGAAGCACCGGCUAACUACGUG
rnacentral:rRNA from 1 species